UUCCUACGGGACGCAGCAGUGGGGAAUAUUGCACAAUGGGGGAAACCCUCAUGCAGCGACGCCGCGUGGGUGAAGAAGUAUUUCGGUAUGUAAAGCCCUAUCAGCAGGGAAGAAGAAUGACGGUACCUGACUAAGAAGCACCGGCUAAAUACGUGCCAGCAGCCGCGGUAAUACGUAUGGUGCAAGCGUUGUCCGGAUUUACUGGGUGUAAAGGGAGCGUAGACGGCCAGACAAGUCUGAAGUGAAAAUCCAGCGCUUAACGUUGGAAGUGCUUUGGAAACUGCCGGGCUGGAGUG
rnacentral:rRNA from 1 species